CAUCUUUAAUAGGAUGUUACGAUUGUGUGAAUACAUAGCACAUUCGAGGUAGACGCAGAGAACUGAAACAUCUAAGUACCUGCAGGAAGAGAAAGAAAAUUCGAUUCCCUGAGUAGCGGCGAGCGAAACGGGAAAAGCCCAAACCAGCAAGCUUGCUUGUUGGGGUUGUAGGACUCCAAUAUGGUAGUUCUUUCAGAUAGUCGAAUGACUUGGAAAAGUCAGUCAAAGAGGGUAAAAACCCCGUAGACGAAAUGUGGAAGACACCUAGGAGGAUCCUGAGUACGGCGGAACACGAGAAAUUCCGUCGGAAUCCGGGAGGACCAUCUCCCAAGGCUAAAUACUCCCUAGUGACCGAUAGUGAACCAGUACCGUGAGGGAAAGGUGAAAAGCACCCCGGAAGGGGAGUGAAAUAGAACCUGAAACCGUGUGCCUACAACAAGUCAAAGCCCGUUAAUGGGUGAUGGCGUGCCUUUUGUAGAAUGAACCGGCGAGUUACGAUUGCAUGCGAGGUUAAGUUGAAGAGACGGAGCCGCAGCGAAAGCGAGUCUGAAUAGGGCGUUUGAGUAUGUAGUCGUAGACCCGAAACCAUGUGAUCUACCCAUGUCCAGGUUGAAGGUGCGGUAAAACGCACUGGAGGACCGAACCCACGUACGUUGAAAAGUGCGGGGAUGAGGUGUGGGUAGCGGAGAAAUUCCAAACGAACUUGGAGAUAGCUGGUUCUCUCCGAAAUAGCUUUAGGGCUAGCCUCGGAAUUGAGAAUGAUGGAGGUAGAGCACUGUUUGGACUAGGGGCCCAUCUCGGGUUACCGAAUUCAGAUAAACUCCGAAUGCCAUUCAUUCAUAUCCGGGAGUCAGACUGUGAGUGAUAAGAUCCAUAGUCGAAAGGGAAACAGCCCAGACCACCAGCUAAGGUCCCAAAAUAUAUGUUAAGUGGAAAAGGAUGUGGGGUUGCACAGACAACUAGG
rnacentral:rRNA from 1 species